ensembl:lncRNA
CUGGUGGCCGCUGGUCCAACACUUUACAGGAGACCAGACCCCUGAUAGCACAGUUGACGGGAAUCUCAAAGAUGGAGUUACAUAUCAGCAAAUGCAGGGAAUAAUUGAGGAGCUCCUGGAGGAGAACGGCUACUACGAAACAACAGACAGCAGGUUCAUAAAGAAAAGAAAUAACCAAGAAAAGAAAUGACAUCUCUACUCAACCAAAGAAGUCACGGAAACGGAUGGAGAAAUUUCUGAUUUAUCUGCAUAAUGCUGACUUCACAAUGAUACGUUAUGGAUGCUGAACUGCAAUUAACCUCAGUUCAUAUCCUCUGUAUACAUAGUACAUAUGUAGUUAACGUACAAAACUAUCAAAGCACUUGGUAAAAACAUGCAUUUGUUUGAACUUAAACAAGGCUGCUGGAACCACACACCUCAUUGGUUCUCAGGUGUUGCUUUUGAUGUCAUGUGACUGAAUCUCCAAACACAAUUUAUUAUAUGUGAAACAAAAUGUUUUUUUUUCUGUGUCAGUUAAUUAUCAAAAUGUAAAAUUCAUGAUUGAUCCAGAAGAGGCUUCUCAUAUCAAAGUGAACUGGCGUGCAAACACAGAGAUAACUCCGGUCCACCACUCUCCUUGUUUAUCUGUGGAGGUCCAGCCUCUGUGUUCGUGUGAAUCUUUCUGUUUUAUUUUUUUUUCAGGGCUGACUGAGUGUAGCACUUUAAGUUCUCAGGACCAGACUCAGUGGUUUGACUAUUUUAACUGACUUCAAGCCACAAUUUCCUCGUUUCCUCACUUUCGAUGAGCUGAUAGGAAGCCCAACUUUCAGCUUAAUUCAACAUAUCACAAUGUCUGACUGCAGAUUUACCAGACGUGGGACCCAGGUCAAACGUUUUUUUUUUGUUGUUGCAAUUUUCAUGCACUGUAUCAACAUGAGUUCUCAAAUAGUGUUAUCAUUUUCAAAAUAAAUAACAAAGAAUAUAAUUUUGUAUGUAUUUUAACAGUUUGAAGAGUUCAGUGCAGAAAAUAAGCUUUCUUGUGCACUUCAAUCCAAAUAAAUAUUGGUCAGUAUAAUCUGUAUAAAGAACAUUAAACUAUUUUAUUUGAUGACAUUUCAGUGAUAUACACUAU